GUAUGCUAACUACAGACAACAAAAACCAUGGCCUCUAUAGAGAAUGAAGCCACUUCAGAGCUGAAUACUCCCUUUCGGUUUCCAUCAGCUUGUUUCAGGUAGAAGAAGAAAGACCAUGUGGAUGUUUUCAUUUCUUUAUAAAUUCUUUCUUCCAGGGGAGGGGUUCAGUCUGGUGGAAUUACCCAUAUACACAUAGAGAUUUUGCUUUCCUGUCAGAGGCAUCAAAUAAUGAAUCCUUUUGAAGUGAAAUGAAACAGGAUAGAGGAUAGCCUGGGUACAAUCUUAGCAACAUCUGUUGCCUUUCACUAGGGUCUUGGCCAAGGACAAUAUCUAUUCAAAGAGGUACUGACAUUUUAUUGAAAGAGAAAAAAGCCUU
rnacentral:lncRNA from 1 species